rnacentral:lncRNA from 1 species
UGGAGACCGGGGCCCUGGAGACAUGGCAUUUGUAUGUAAGAUGGGCGAAACAAGUCAUGUUAAUUGGAAGACUCUUCGAGACAAUUGGCAGAACAACCACACCUCUGAUUACCCCAGCAAUUACAACCUGUGAAGAUGCUCCCUGGAGAUAUAUUCCAGACUGAAACCUCAGAACAUUGGCAUUGUCCAUAGACACUGAUACACUUCCAGGGUGAAAGCUUCUGCAGACCGGUUUAUAAAGAGAAGACCCAGGCCAGAAGACGGGCCUGGUGAAACUUAGUGCCAGAGAUUUGAGUCCUGAGUCACACUGUGACAGAGAAACAAGAACUGAUUUCAAGACGGAAUUCCC